CCCAACAAAUUCAGCAGCACUAAUAGGCCCCUUUGAUGAGCUCUGGACAUUUCAGCAAUUCACAAUGUCACUGGAACCCCCGGUGACAGCUUUUAAAGUGUGUAUCCAUGAACAUAUGAAUUUCCUCUACAGAUGUUCCCCCUCCCUGCAAGGGCCCAAUACUACAAUCCUUGGUCAAGUUCCACAUACACAGCCCUGAAGAUUGAAUCAUCUAUUCAUUCACAGAAAAAGGAGAAAGCAAUGGAGAAUUCUCCACAUUGUAUCAAUAUGCCUCAUCUCAGUCUACAAAGGACCAUUUUUAAAGUUAAGUGAAGACUGUAGUUUCCAAGUCUGAUUUCAAUCCGUGGCUUCUCUGCCAAGACCAUUACAGUAAGAGGGCUCGACUGUUUGUGAUGGUGUCUUAAGAUAAGGAAAUCGGUUAACAGAAACUGGACUGAAAGCACAAAAUCCUUUUGGAUAGCCAUGUAAGAGCCAUCCAGUAGCAAUAACUGCCAACCACUACCAAUUCAAGGUGCAUUUGAACCAGUGACGCAGAUGAAGGGUUUUUUGUUUAAAUCUUAGUUCCAUGUUGCCGAGAGACCGGUGUGGGUUCAAAGCAAUGCUAAAGAACAUGGAUCAAGCCAAGUUUAAAGACUGAUCUCAGGUCAACAGGAAUCUUUCCAUUAACUUCAACAGACUCUGGAUCACGUCCACAGCAAUGAAAAAGGAUUGAUUCUCUAGGCAUCAAUAACUGUAUCUGUCCUACCACACAUCCUCGAUGGGUGAACUGCUGUGGUUUUAGUUUCAUGGCGUGGACAUGAGACUGCAAUCACGCAGGCAGACGGGAAGGAGAAAGCUGCUGCCGGAGCCGAGCUCGCCAAGGAAG